GCUCCAAAAUUUAUCCUAACUAUACUUGUAUUUGAAAUAAAUAAAGGAAGAAACGCACAAAAAGUAAAAAAAAUUAACCAUCAUUUAUCAUUACUUAUUAGAGGAGGAUAGCGAUGGUCAGGUGUGUGGGGGUGUACUCCCCAGAAAAUGUUUGAAAUUUGAACCACGGAAAUGCCAUUUCCUGCAUUCUGAGCAUCCAAAUUUGCUCUAAAAUUUAUGCUAACUAUAGUUGUAUU